rnacentral:rRNA from 1 species
GCCAAACAGCUAGCUUAAUAAUAAAAAUAACCUAACAACAUAAAUAUUACUAAAUAAACUUAAUAACAAAAAUUAAAUCAUUUUUUUACCUUAGUAUGGGAGACAGAAAAGGUUCACAUAAAGCUAUAGACACAGUACCGUGAGGGAAAGCUGAAAGAGAAAUGAAACAGCCUAUAUAAGCAUUAAAAAGCAAAGACUAAACCUUGUACCUUUUGCAUCAUGAUUUAGCCAGAAAAUUUAAGCAAAGAGACCUUUAGUUUAAAAUCCCGAAACCAGGUGAGCUACCCCGAGACAGCCUCUUAAGGGCCAACCCAUCUCUGUAGCAAAAGAGUGGGAAGAGCUCCGGGUAGAAGUGACAAACCUACCGAACCUGGUGAUAGCUGGUUACCUAAAAAAUGAAUAAGAGUUCAGCCUCGUAUACCUUAGUCCAACAAUAAUAUAACACCUAAACAUAAACCUGAAGAUACUAAAGAAAAUUACGAGAGUUAGUUAAAGGGGGUACAGCCCCUUUAACAAAGGAUACAACCUUACUCAGGAGGAUAAAGAUCAUAAUAUAUAAAACAUGUCGUUCUAGUGGGCCUAGAAGCAGCCACCUAAACAGAAGGCGUUAAAGCUCUGACAUAAAAAAGUUUAUUAUUCCGAUAAAAUAUCUUACUCCCCUAAUACUAUUAGGUUCUUCCAUGCCCACAUGGAAGGGAUUAUGCUAAAAUGAGUAACAAGAAGACCUACCCUUCUCCUAACACAAGUGUAAACCAUACUGGACCCACCACUGGAAAAUAACGAACUCAACCCAAGAGAGAAAUAUGUAUAAUAAAAACAAGAAAAUCCCAUUACACUAAAUCGUUAACCCCACACUGGAGUGUUGAUACAGGAAAGACUAACAGAAAAGGAAGGAACUCGGCAAACACAAGCCUCGCCUGUUUACCAAAAACAUCGCCUCUUGCUAUAUAACCUAGUAUAAGAGGUCCGGCCUGCCCAUUGACAACAUGUUUAACGGCCGCGGUAUUUUAACCGUGCAAAGGUAGCGUAAUCACUUGUCUCUUAAAUAGAGACCUGUAUGAAAGGCUAAACGAGGGCUUUACUGUCUCCCCUUUCAAGUCAGUGAAAUUGAUCUACCCGUGCAGAAGCGGACAUAAUAAUACAAGACGAGAAGACCCUUUGGAGCUUAAGGUACAAAACUCAACCACGUCAAACAACUCAUUAAAAAGCAAGAACUUUGUGGAACUGGGAUCCUACCUUCGGUUGGGGCGACAAUGGAGUAUAAUAUAACCUCCAAGUGGACUGGGGUAAUAAACCCUAAAACCAAGAGAAACACCUCUAGACCACAGAAUAUCUGACCAAACAUGAUCCGGCCACUAAAGCUGAUUAACGAACCAAGUUACCCUAGGGAUAACAGCGCAAUCCUCUCUCAGAGUCCCUAUCGACGAGAGGGUUUACGACCUCGAUGUUGGAUCAGGACAUCCUAAUGGCGCAGCCGCUAUUAAGGGUUCGUUUGUUCAACGAUUAAAGUCCUACGUGAUCUGAGUUCAGACCGGAGCAAUCCAGGUCGGUUUCUAUCUGUAACGCUACUUUUCCCAGUACGAAAGGGCCGGAAAAGAGGAGCCCAUGCUAUAAAGCACGCCCCGCCCCCAACUUAUGAAAACAAAUAAAUAAAACAAAGGAGAGCUAAAAAUAGCCCGCCAAAAUAAGGACUU